rnacentral:rRNA from 1 species
GGAAUCUUGCACAAUGGGGGAAACCCUGAUGCAGCGACGCCGCGUGAGCGAUGAAGCCCCUCGGGGUGUAAAGCUCUUUCGGCAGGGAAGAUUAUGACGGUACCUGCAGAAGCAGCUGCGGCUAACUACGUGCCAGCAGCCGCGGUAAUACGUAGGCAGCAAGCGCUGUUCGGAAUUACUGGGCGUAAAGGGUGUGUAGGCGGUUUUCUAAGUUUGGUGUGAAAUCUCCCGGCUCAACUGGGAGGGUGCGCCGAAAACUGGAAGGCUAGAGUGCGGGAUGGGAGAGUGGAAUUCCUGGUGUAGCGGUGAAAUGCGUAGAUAUCAGGAGGAACACCUGUGGUGUAGACGGCUCUCUGGACCGAUACUGACGCUGAGACGCGAAUGCGUGGGGAGCAAA